CCUACGGGUGGCAGCAGUGAGGAAUAUUGGUCAAUGGGCGGGAGCCUGAACCAGCCAAGUCGCGUGAGGGAAGACGGUCCUAUGGAUUGUAAACCUCUUUAGGCGGGGAGCAAUGCCGGGCACGUGUGCCCGGAGGGAGAGUACCCGCAGAAUAAGCAUCGGCUAACUCCGUGCCAGCAGCCGCGGUAAUACGGAGGAUGCGAGCGUUAUCCGGAUUUAUUGGGUUUAAAGGGUGCGUAGGCGGAUUUUUAAGUCAGCGGUAAAAUGUCCGGGCUCAACCCGGGCCGGCCGUUGAAACUGGGGAUCUUGAGUGGGCGAGAGGAUAGUGGAAUUCCAGGUGUAGGAGUGAAAUCCGUAGAUAUCUGGAGGAACAUCAGUGGCGAAGGCGACUAUCUGGCACAUAACUGACGCUGAGGAGCGAAAGCGUGGGUAGCAAACAGGAUUAGAUACCCGUGUAGUC
rnacentral:rRNA from 1 species